rnacentral:rRNA from 1 species
GGGCGGUAUAUUGCAGAGCAUAGAGAAAAUCAUAACCACUCACUUUCGCCUAAUUUUGCUGACAAAAUCCAUUGGCCAUCACAUAAGCAUAUUGACGUGUACCUGAGAGAUCUCAUAAAGCAACUCAGGCAAAACAAUGUGAAUCUGGGCAAGGUUUAUAGUAUCAUAGGUGGCUUUUUCGGUUCAAUGGAGAAUGUUCCCUUCACCAAAAGGUCAUUGCGAAAUCUGUGUGGGCAGAUAAACAGGGACCAAGCGGAUGAUGAUGUGAGGAAGACAGUGGAAGUUUUUGCAGACAUUGGAGCCAAGGAUCUACAUUUCACAUACCGGGUUCAGGCUGACACUGAGGGCAGGAUCAAGAACCUUAUUUGGGCAACUGGUAGCAGAAGGUUGCAGUACACGUUUUUUUGGAGACAUGAUAACAUUCGACACCACAUACAGGACCAACCUGUAUGA